rnacentral:lncRNA from 1 species
AAUAGAAAAUUGCAAAAACAACUUGACCCUUUUGUGUUCUUUGAGCCCAGUCACAAAGGCCCCUCGUGACUGGGCCUCACGCCAAACAGCUCGUUACAAAAAGAGCUAGGAUCCCAGACCACAUCGAAGCUUCAUGAGAUCUCUCCUUGUCUGUGCACAGACGGGUGGCCAACUCUGGAGCCCAGGCUGUUGCUUCCCGGUCUGGCAGUGAAUCCUCCAUAGCCUGGUCUUGGAUGUCGAAUGCUAUCCCCAGCAGCCUCAAAUCUACAAAGCAGUGAUACAAUCACGCACCCACCACCAGCUGAGCAACUGAGAAUACCAAGUGUUCACCAGGAUACCCAGCACCCAGAGGCAUCUCACUUUGCUGGUGGGAGUGCACUUUUUUUCUUUUUUUUUUUUUUUGAGACAGAGUCUCGUUCUGUCGCCAGGCGGGAGUGCAGUGGCACGAUCUUGGCUCACUGCACCGUCCGCCUCCUGGGUUCUGGUGAUUCUCCUGCCUCAGCCUCCUGAGUAGCUGGGACUACAGGCGCCACCACCCCCAGCUAACUUUUUUUGUUUUUUUUUUGAGACGGAGUGUCGCUCUGUCGCCCAGGCUGGAGUGCAGUGGCACAAUCUCGGCUCACUGCAAGCUCCGCUUCCCGGGUUCACGCCAUUCUCCUGCCUCAGCCUCCCGAGUAGCUGGGACUACAGGUGCCCGCCACCAUGCCCGGCUAAUUUUUUUGUAUUUUUAGUAAACACAGGGUUUCACCAUG